ensembl:lncRNA
UCCAGGUGGCAGCACUCAAGAGUCAAGAGCUGGGUUCUACCAGGAAAAUUAAGGUGAUUUUCAUUCAGCGUUUCACAUUGGAGGGCUGUGAUGCUACUGUUUUCGACUAGUUGCCACAAGGCAUAAUUUUUUUUAAAAUCUUUAUAUUGAUUAAAGUUGAGCUUAGGUUUCUUGUUUGAAUAUAUUUGUUUUCCUUAUUUUAAUGCACUAACUGACUUGGGCUCGCCAAACCUACUCUGAGUCAAGACCGCAGGCCUUGGGCUAAGGUACCUCCUUUUAAGAGGAACACAGAGGCUCUUUAACUGGCAUACCCCAGGAGUCAACUGUGAGGCAGUCUUUAAAGAUGUGAACACGCAAUGAAUAUGGAGGCCAGUGUGUCCUCAGUCGAAAAAGGCUGUGCUCGCUACCCGUCCGUGAGUCCUGCACUGCUACUCUUUAGAUGAACCUGCCUUGCCCAAUUACCCCCUGCUGACCUCAGAUGCCAGCUAAAUCGAAUGUGUGAAGACUCCCGAUGGACGCGUGGCGGUCAGGUCACACACAUGUACCGAGGCUCAUGGGAGCUCUAACACUGUAAAGGUUUCUGUUUUCCUAAGAGCAGUUACCAAGGUUACCUUUCUAAAACACUUUCCGUUUAAUGGCGGUUGUAUUUCACUGCCCUUGUGGACCACUGCUCAACUUUAGGAGUGUCCUGGGGAGCCUAAUAAACUGCUAUAUGACACAGUACAAUACCGC